GACGAACGCUGGCGGCGUGCUUAACACAUGCAAGUCGAACGCUGAAGACCUGGCUUUUGUUGGGUUGGAUGAGUGGCGAACGGGUGAGUAACACGUGAGUAACCUGCCCUCUUCUUUGGGAUAACGCCCGGAAACGGGUGCUAAUACUGGAUAUUCACUGGCCUUCGCAUGGGGGUUGGUGGAAAGGUUUGUUCUGGUGGGGGAUGGGCUCGCGGCCUAUCAGCUUGUUGGUGGGGUGAUGGCCUACCAAGGCUUUGACGGGUAGCCGGCCUGAGAGGGUGACCGGUCACAUUGGGACUGAGAUACGGCCCAGACUCCUACGGGAGGCAGCAGUGGGGAAUAUUGCACAAUGGGCGAAAGCCUGAUGCAGCGACGCCGCGUGAGGGAUGGAGGCCUUCGGGGUGGAAACCUCUUUCGCGCAUGGUCAAGCCGCAACUGUGGGUUGUGGUGAGGGUAGUGGGUAAAGAAGCGCCGGCUAACUACGUG
rnacentral:rRNA from 1 species